UACGUAGGGUGCAAGCGUUGUCCGGAAUUAUUGGGCGUAAAGAGCUCGUAGGCGGUCUGUCGCGUCGGCUGUGAAAUCCCGGAGCUCAACUCCGGGUCUGCAGUCGAUACGGGCAAACUGGAGUACUGCAGGGGAGACUGGAAUUCCUGGUGUAGCGGUGAAAUGCGCAGAUAUCAGGAGGAACACCGGUGGCGAAGGCAGUGGGCUGGGCCGGCACUGACGCUGAGGAGCGAAAGCGUGGGGAGCGAACAGG
rnacentral:rRNA from 1 species